rnacentral:rRNA from 1 species
AUUGAACGCUGGCGGCAGGCCUAACACAUGCAAGUCGAACGAGCGGCGGACGGGUGAGUAAUGUCUGGGGAACUGCCUGAUGGAGGGGGAUAACUACUGGAAACGGUAGCUAAUACCGCAUACCAUCAGAUGUGCCCAUAUGGGAUUAGCUAGUAGGUGGGGUAACGGAUCACCUAGGCGACGAUCCCUAGCUGGUCUGAGAGGAUGACCAUCCACACUGGAACUGAGACACGGCCCAGACUCCUACGGGAGGCAGCAGUGGGGAAUAUUGCACAAUGGGCGCAAGCCUGAUGCAGCCAUGCCGCGUGUAUGAAGAAGGCCUUAGGGUUGUAAAGUACUUUCAGCGGGGAGGCGUUACCCGCAGAAGAAGCACCGGCUAACUCCGUGCCAGCAGCCGCGGUAAUUC